rnacentral:rRNA from 1 species
GAUGAACGCUGGCGGCGUGCCUAAUACAUGCAAGUCGAGCGAACAGACGAGGAGCUUGCUCCUCUGACGUUAGCGGCGGACGGGUGAGUAACACGUGGAUAACCUACCUAUAAGACUGGGAUAACUUCGGGAAACCGGAGCUAAUACCGGAUAAUAUAUUGAACCGCAUGGUUUAAUAGUGAAAGACGGUUUUGCUGUCACUUAUAGAUGGAUCCGCGCCGCUUUAGCUAGUUGGUAAGGUAACGGCUUACCAAGGCAACGAUGCGUAGCCGACCUGAGAGGGUGAUCGGCCACACUGGAACUGAGACACGGUCCAGACUCCUACGGGAGGCAGCAGUAGGGAAUCUUCCGCAAUGGGCGAAAGCCUGACGGAGCAACGCCGCGUGAGUGAUGAAGGUCUUCGGAUCGUAAAACUCUGUUAUUAGGGAAGAACAAAUGUGUAAGUAACUAUGCACGUCUUGACGGUACCUAAUCAGAAAGCCACGGCUAACUACGUG